CCGACUUAUGCCGCCGUGUAAUUGAGCUCUGAUCUAUUCGUCAACAAAUUGAUUCUCAGCUCAAUCUCAUGGAGAAAUACAUAAUUCUCUCUCCUCGCCUUUGAUUUCAUCCGUUUAUGCUUCUUUGAAUUUGCGUUUCGCAAAGCUUGAUGUAAAUAUGAAAUUGAAGUUUAAUUGGUAAUUUGUUUAAUGAGUAUUUCAAACCAAAUCGGAGCUCCAUCAACUCCGGAGCCGAAUAAUACAUCUCGACUGAUUAUCGCUACUAAAUUUUCGCGUUUCGAGUAGCUAGCUGUUAGGCCGGCUGACCAGACCGCAAUUAGCUUAAGACCUGGUGGUGGUGGAAGCAAUCUAGGCCCUCGAUUUCUCGAACCCCGAUUCGAUUCUUCUUGUUCAUCGACUUAUGCUGUUGCUGCCUCUGACAAUCUUCGUCCUCAUGGCGCCGCCUCGGUCAAGUUGUGGAGCAUUGCGGCAUAUCUGUAUUUCCAGCUUGUUUAUUAAGUUCUGGCGCCAUCAUCAAUAUAUGAUCCACUCAGUAGCUGACUUGAUUCACCUUAGACCUUGAAAAUUUACAAAAAGAACUCACAUUUAUAAAAAUGUGAUCUGAGACCUGUUGUCUGCUUCAUCAGCCAUAGGCUAUAGCUAAAAAAAGAAGGCAACUGGUGGCGGAAGAAACAACUCCAAGAGUGGGCAAUUUACUUUCCUAAAUUGAUUCAAUCUAAGCACAAGUACAGUAGCUGCCCUGUUAAGGAGAAUGUGAAGCUCUAUGCUAACAGCUUUUAAUUUACUCAGUUAGCCAAGAGCCGAGAUGCAACUCCAUAGAGACUGUAAGCCAAAUUAAAGUUGCAGGGAAGUGGGGAAUUCAUAGUAGCUGUUGAAGACUUUAUAUGUUUUCACAGCAGUUGAAGACCUUAGUUAAAGACCUUAGUUGAAGACCUUAUCUGUUCUGUUUGAGCUCAGGCAUUUUUUUUUUACCAUAGUUGACUAUGGUUAACUUUGCUAAUAGUUGUAUUACCUUUAUGGCUUUCAAAGUGUUGUUCGCUAGGUGUUUGUUUGUUUCCGCUUGUACAAAAGGCAUUUUCUUUGAGUUUAAUACAAUGAUUUUUUUACAACAAAAAAUAACUCG